rnacentral:rRNA from 1 species
UAGGGAAUCUUCCACAAUGGACGCAAGUCUGAUGGAGCAACGCCGCGUGAGUGAAGAAGGUCUUCGGAUCGUAAAGCUCUGUUGUUGGCGAAGAAGGAUAGAGGCAGUAACUGGUCUUUAUUUGACGGUAAUCAACCAGAAAGUCACGGCUAACUACGUGCCAGCAGCCGCGGUAAUACGUAGGUGGCAAGCGUUGUCCGGAUUUAUUGGGCGUAAAGCGAGCGCAGGCGGAAUGAUAAGUCUGAUGUGAAAGCCCACGGCUCAACCGUGGAACUGCAUCGGAAACUGUCAUUCUUGAGUGCAGAAGAGGAGAGUGGAACUCCAUGUGUAGCGGUGGAAUGCGUAGAUAUAUGGAAGAACACCAGUGGCGAAGGCGGCUCUCUGGUCUGCAACUGACGCUGAGGCUCGAAAGCAUGGGUAGCGAACAGGAUUAGAUACCCUGGUAGUCCAUGCCGUAAACGAUGAGCGCUAGGUGUUGGGGACUUUCCGGUUCUCAGUGCCGCAGCAAACGCAUUAAGCGC